GAUCAUGGCUCAGGAUGAACGCUGGCGGCGUGCCUAACACAUGCAAGUCGAGCGAUUCUCUUCGGAGAAGAGCGGCGGACGGGUGAGUAACGCGUGGGUAACCUGCCUCAUACACAUGGAUAACAUACCGAAAGGUAUGCUAAUACAGGAUAACAUAAGAGAUUCACAUGGAUUUCUUAUCAAAGCUCCGGCGGUAUGAGAUGGACCCGCGUCUGAUUAGCUAGUUGGUAAGGUAACGGCUUACCAAGGCGACGAUCAGUAGCCGACCUGAGAGGGUGAUCGGCCACAUUGGAACUGAGACACGGUCCAAACUCCUACGGGAGGCAGCAGUGGGGAAUAUUGCACAAUGGGCGAAAGCCUGAUGCCAGCAACGCCGCGUGAGUGAUGAAGGCUUUCGGGUCGUAAAACUCUGUCCUCAAGGAAGAUAAUGACGGUACUUGAGGAGGAAGCCCCGGCUAACUACGUGCCAGCAGCCGC
rnacentral:rRNA from 1 species